UCCGAGUUGACCCCGGCAGUCUCCUACGAGUCCCCGGCAUUACCCGCUGGCAACAUAGGACAAGGGUUGCGCUCGUUGCGGGACUUAACCCAACAUCUCACGACACGAGCUGACGACAACCAUGCACCACCUGUGCAGGGCCCCGAAGGACACCGUAUCUCUACGGCUUUUCCCUGCAUGUCAAGCCCAGGUAAGGUUCUUCGCGUUGCCAUCAUUUAGUUGGGCACUCUGGAGGGACUGCCGGCGGCAAGCCGGAGGAAGGUGGGGAUGACGUCACACAGACUAUAC
rnacentral:misc_RNA from 1 species